AUUGAACGCUAGCGGGAUGCUUUACACAUGCAAGUCGAACGAGUGGCGGACGGGUGAGUAAUAUCUCGGAACGUGCCCAGUAGCGGGGGAUAACUACUCGAAAGAGUGGCUAAUACCGCCUACUAUUGGAACGUCCGAUAUCGGAUUAGCUAGUUGGUGGGGUAAAGGCUCACCAAGGCAACGAUCCGUAGCUGGUUUGAGAGGAGGACCAGCCACACUGGAACUGAGACACGGCCCAGACUCCUACGGGAGGCAGCAGUGGGGAAUUUUGGACAAUGGGGGAAACCCUGAUCCAGCCAUGCCGCGUGUAUGAGAAGGCCUUCGGGUUGUAAAGUACUUUUGGCGGAGAAGCGGUAUCUGCAGAAUAAGCACCGGCUAACUACGUGCCAGCAGCCGCGGUAAUUC
rnacentral:rRNA from 1 species